rnacentral:rRNA from 1 species
GUCCACGCCGUAAACGAUGAGUGCUAGGUGCUGUGGGUAUUGACCCCCGCGGUGCCGCAGCUAACGCGUUAAGCACUCCGCCUGGGGAGUACGGCCGCAAGGCUAAAACUCAAAGGAAUUGACGGGGGCCCGCACAAGCGGUGGAGCAUGUGGUUCAAUUCGACGCAACGCGCAGAACCUUACCUGGGUUAAAUCCACCAGAAUCUUCCAGAGAUGGAGGGGUGCCCUUCGGGGAACUGGUGAGAAGGUGCUGCAUGGCUGUCGU